AAACGACUCUCGACAACGGAUAUCUCGGCUCUCGCAUCGAUGAAAGACGUAGUGAAAUGCGAUACUUGGUGUGAAUUGCAGAAUCCCGUGAACCAUCGAGUCUUUGAACGCAAGUUGCGCCCGAAGCCAUUAGGCCGAGGGCACGUCUGCCUGGGCGUCUCGCAA
rnacentral:rRNA from 1 species